rnacentral:tRNA from 1 species
GCGGAAAUAGCUCAGUGGUAGAGCACCACCUUGCCAGGACUUAAAAUCCUGCGGUGAGUGAUCACCGUGCCGGUUCGAUUCCGGCCCUCGGCACCA